GAUGAACGCUGGCGGUAUGCUUAACACAUGCAAGUCGAACGGAUGUUUUCGGACAUUAGUGGCGGACGGGUGAGUAACGCGUGAGAAUCUAGCUUCAGGUUGGGGACAACAGUUGGAAACGACUGCUAAUACCGAAUGUGCCGAAAGGUGAAAGAUUUAUUGCCUGAAGAAGAGCUCGCGUCUGAUUAGCUAGUUGGUGGGGUAAGAGCUUACCAAGGCGACGAUCGGUAGCUGGUCUGAGAGGACGAUCAGCCACACUGGGACUGAGACACGGCCCAGACUCCUACGGGAGGCAGCAGUGGGGAAUUUUCCGCAAUGGGCGAAAGCCUGACGGAGCAAUACCGCGUGAGGGAAGAAGGCUCUUGGGUUGUAAACCUCUUUUCUGAGGGAAGAAAAAAAUGACGGUACCUCAGGAAUCAGCAUCGGCUAACUCCGUG
rnacentral:rRNA from 1 species